rnacentral:rRNA from 1 species
GAUGAACGCUGACAGAAUGCUUAACACAUGCAAGUCAACUUGGACUUCGGUUUGGGUGGCGGACGGGUGAGUAACGCGUAAAGAACUUGCCUCACAGCUAGGGACAACAUUUGGAAACGAAUGCUAAUACCUGAUAUUAUGAUUUUAGGGCAUCCUAGAAUUAUGAAAGCUAUAUGCGCUGUGAGAGAGCUUUGCGUCCCAUUAGCUAGUUGGAGAGGUAACGGCUCACCAAGGCGAUGAUGGGUAGCCGGCCUGAGAGGGUGAUCGGCCACAAGGGGACUGAGACACGGCCCUUACUCCUACGGGAGGCAGCAGUGGGGAAUAUUGGACAAUGGACCAAGAGUCUGAUCCAGCAAUUCUGUGUGCACGAUGAAGUUUUUCGGAAUGUAAAGUGCUUUCAGUUGGGAAGAAAAAAAUGACGGUACCAACAGAAGAAGUGACGGUUAAAUACGUGCCAGCAGCCGCGGUAAUACGUAUGUCACAAGCGUUAUCCGGAUUUAUUGGGCGUAAAGCGCGUCUAGGUGGUUAUAUAAGUCUGAUGUGAAAAUGCAGGGCUCAACUCUGUAUUGCGUUGGAAACUGUGUAACUAGAGUACUGGAGAGGUAAGCGGAACUACAAGUGUAGAGGUGAAAUUCGUAGAUAUUUGUAGGAAUGCCGAUGGGGAAGCCAGCUUACUGGACAGAUACUGACGCUGAAGCGCGAAAGCGUGGGUAGCAAACAGG